rnacentral:tRNA from 4 species
GGGCCAGUAGCUUUAGCUGGCUAGAGCACUGCAUUUGCAAUGCAGGGGUCAGCGGUUCGAAUCCGCUCUGGUCCA